rnacentral:ncRNA from 1 species
AAAAAGGGGAGCUCGAAGCCGGGCUGAGAAAGGAUAAUGCAUCCUGACCCAUAACCUGAUUUGGAUAAUGCCAACGUAGGGAUCAUA